UAACUUAAUCUUUACAGAUGUAAAAACAGAAAUACAAUUAUUUUAACAACUAUUAUUACAUAUUGCUCUUCUAACGAAAACAGAAAUUCAGUAAGCAAUUGGAGAUAGGUAGUGAAGAAUUAAGGGGUCCAGCUCACCGUGGAUUUGGGAAUUACUGUGCUGGGGCAGUGGAUUUGCAAAGCCUCAUCUGGAGAGCUCUGGGAGAUGCGAGGUGGCUGGGAAGGAUGGACCUGCAGGUGGGAUUUGGCAGUGGCAUGGAAAGCUGAGUCACUGGAUGGAAGUGCUGGAAGCUGCUAAAACCAGUGGAGCUCUGUAAGGAAAAGAAAUCAACCCCAUGUUCUGUUCUGUGCCCCCUUAUUCCACCUGUGUGCUCGGGGUGGAGCUGAUCCCAAUCCCACCAAAGGCAAUGGAGGUACUUGGACACAUCCCUUGUGCCCUGUAGCCCCAUGAGGGGCAGAGCUGGAAUCCUCCCGCUUUAGGAGCAGAAACUCUGCUCACACCAACCAAAGGAUGGGAAGGAUGGAGGGAGAUGAUGAAAAGUCACCUGAUAAAAGAGAAUUUUAUGUUUAUCACACGUCUGCUCAUCUUCCCAUCACAGGUUUGCUCAGGUCUCUCAGACAAUGUCACUUGAGGCAAAGGUGACCCAGAUGUGCCUCUUUAAGCUGUCGAAGCUUAGGAAAGUGAAAAGGAAAAUCAUAAGAAUUUUCUGUCUGAAUAGCCAACCCAGAGGCUGGCUGGCAUUUCACCUAGCCCAGGAUCCAGCUGGGGGAUGUUUGAAUCAAUGUGCAAGAGUUCCCCUCAUAGGAAACUGGUGUUUGGAGCAAAGCCGCUCUGGGAACCAAACAACUCCUCUGAGAGCUUCUCCCCUCUGUGAUCUCCCCUGCUCCUAGGAGUUAAAAUUGGCUGCAGAGCUCGGAGACAGAAAACCUUGCUGGGUUGGGAGAGGUCAUUCCUCUGCAGAGGAAGGGGAAGGCAUCUCCAUCGCCCACACAGGCACUGUGCUGUUUAUUCUGCAUCCCAGGCUAUUUUCU
rnacentral:lncRNA from 1 species